GUUAGUGGGGAUUAAAAAUUUUAUUUUAUUUCCAUUCCAUUUACCGUGAGUUAGGGAGAAUCUCAUUUCUCUUUCUUGGUGAGUUCUCUUGUUCUCUUCAAGUGGAAAAGAAAAAUGUUGGCCGAUUGCAUGUAGGUGAAGCCAUGGUUGUGGCUGCUUAGGAGUUGCUUAUUUUUCAAGAAUUCAAGCUAAAGAGGUAGGUGAAGAGCAUUGUGGGAAAGACAAGGAACAGGCUUGAGGAGGUAGGAAGCAGCUUGGGAAAAUUUUUGUGUGUUUUCUUUGAAAUAGUUUCUGUUUAUUUCAUGUUCAAUUUUUUAUUAGGUCAAUAUUGAUGAUUCAGUCGUCUAAACUGGUGCUUAGGUGCUGUCCAUUUUUUAGCAUAUCAAUGCUGUCCAUUUUUGUACAAAUUAAUGUUGUCCGAGUGUUGUUGCUGCGGUCCAAAUACUUGUGAAUUAAUGAUGUAUGAAUGUUGCAAAUCAA